rnacentral:rRNA from 1 species
CCUGGCUCAGAUUGAACGCUGGCGGCAGGCUUAACACAUGCAAGUCGAGCGGAUUACAGAGCUUGCUCUGUAGUUAGCGGCGAACGGGUGAGUAAUACCUAGGAAUCUGCCUAUUAGUGGGGGAUAACGUGUGGAAACGCACGCUAAUACCGCAUACGUCCUACGGGAGAAAGCAGGGGGAUCUUCGGACCUUGCGCUAAUAGAUGAGCCUAGGCCAGAUUAGCUAGUUGGUAGGGUAAAGGCCUACCAAGGCGACGAUCUGUAGCUGGUCUGAGAGGAUGGCCAGCCACACUGGAACUGAGACACGGUCCAGACUCCUACGGGAGGCAGCAGUGGGGAAUAUUGGACAAUGGGGGCAACCCUGAUCCAGCCAUGCCGCGUGUGUGAAGAAGGCCUUCGGGUUGUAAAGCACUUUAAGCGAGGAGGAAGGUUUACUAGUUAAUACCUAGUAGAAUUGACGUUACUCGCAGAAUAAGCACCGGCUAACUCUGUG